rnacentral:rRNA from 1 species
AUACAGAGGGUGCAAGCGUUAAUCGGAAUUACUGGGCGUAAAGCGCACGUAGGCGGCUUACCAAGUCGGAUGUGAAAGCCCUGGGCUUAACCUGGGAACGGCAUUCGAAACUGAUAGGCUAGAGUAUGGUAGAGGGAAGUGGAAUUCCAGGUGUAGCGGUGAAAUGCAUAGAUAUCUGGAGGAACAUCAGUGGCGAAGGCGGCUUCCUGGACUAAUACUGACGCUGAGGAGCGAAAGCGUGGGGAGCAAACGGGAUUAGAUACCCCGGUAGUCC